UUUUUUUUCUUUUAUAUUAAUAUUUGAUGGUAAGUACGUAAGUAUAUUAACUUCACGAUUUGUUUUGUUUUUGUUAGUUGCUAGGGAAGUUGCAGGCUGCGUCAAUACUUGUGUAGGGAGAUGCGCCAUGAAGAACUGAUGAUAAUCACCUAUGCACGAAAUUAUAAUAAAAUGCCUUUAAUUACAUUUAGCCUGAAUGAAAAAAAAAACAUAAUUUGGUUGCUGUUGUAUUUUCAGUUUUAUAUUUACAAGUGAACAUAGAUUUAGAGUGUAUGAUUUGAGUUUGGUUGGUUCUUAAACAGAUGGAUGAUAAUAAAAAUGAGUUUCAAAAUAAUGGUGAUCUAAGCAUUUCGUAGUAAUGGCUUAUAGUUACCUACGGAUUAGAUAAUUCAGUUACAUUACUACAAUGCUAUUACGCUGUUAAUGAUCCUCUGGAUAUCCGUUUGAAGUACCCGUUUUAGACUCAAUAUCCAAACACGCACAUGGGGACUCAUGACUUUUCAAAGAUCCUCCAGAUACAUGAAAAACAAAAACGAACAUAUUCGUGUUAAACAUGUGCCUACAUUUGAAACUCAUACCCGAGUUCGAGUGAACAUAGAUUUAGAGUGUGUGAUUUGAGUUUGGUUGGUUCUCAAACAGAUGUAUGGUGAUAAAAAUGAGGUUCAAAAUGCUGGUUGAUCUAAGCAUUAGGUAGUAAUGGCUUAUAGUUACGUCCGGAUUAGAUAAUUCAGUUACAUUACUAUAAUGUGAUUACACCUUGUUAAAGAGAUGAGAAAAAUCUAUAGUGUUGCCUAUAUACGGACUCCAGUUGCUGCUAAGGUUGUAAAAUUUGCUUAUUGUCCUUGAUUGAGUUAUGGUCUUAGAUGUAAUUUUUCUUUCGUUUUUGAUAUGUAUAUAUAUAUUUGCGGAGACUGCAUUUAGCGCAUUUUUUCUUAUUAUUUUUCUAGAUUGCUUCUUUGCUUUAAAGGUUUGGAAUGUACGGCAAGCAGGUGCUUCUGCAAUGCUUGUUGCGGAUGAUAUUGAAGAAGCAUUAAUAACCAUGGACAAUCCUGAAAAGGACAGUUCAUCUGCCAAAUACAUUGAAAAUAUAACAAUUCCAUCUGCCCUUAUCGAGAAAACUUUUGGUAAAACUCUAACCCUGAUGAUCGUGACGAGUACGAGUUAUGGACCAACAGCAAUGAUGAAUGUGGAGUUAAAUGUGAUAUGCUGAUGGCAUUUGUGAAGGAUUUCAGGGGUGCUGCUCAGAUUCUCGAAAAAGCUGGCUAUACGCACUUCACACCCCAUUAUAUAACUUGGUACUGCCCUCAAGCUUUCACCCUAAGCCGACACUGCAAAUCUCAAUGCAUCAACCGCGGAAGAUACUGUGAAGGUGAGAAUCAAGAUUUUAUUUGCACGGAUUAAGUGUUUACUUCGAAGGUAUUGUUUAAAAUAUGAAGUUAAAGAUUUAGUGUUCAUUUGUGAUUCAUGUCUUAUGAGACAGAAGAUUGACAAUCAGAAUAUUUGGGAUGGUUAGAAAGAAUUUAGAUUGUUAGGAAGAAUUCUAAAAAAAGGACAAGAUAUUAAAGCAUUUCUUUUGGCAUGACAAAUCCAUUUUGUCGAAACUAUUUUUUUGAAAAAACAAAAAUUUUAGGUUGUCGACUUUAAAAAAUGAAAAUUGGGAGUCGCCACCAAUCUUUUAUUAAGGUGUGAUUGAAUCACCUAAAAAAACGGCUUUGGUCUACGAGUUUUAGAAAAACGGAUCCGGAAGUCAGUUACGUUCGAGGAAGGAUUAGCACAUUCGUAAUGCUCAAAAAUUGGUACCUAAUUAAUUAAUUAAUGUCUUAAUGUCGAAAAUUUGAAAAAUAUAAUCCUUAGCAAAAACUCUUAAACGUUACGUAUUAAGACCCUUAUCAUUUCAGAGAAAGAAAAUGCCACAACCAAUGCGUUAGGGCACGACAUUCUAAUUUCCUCAAAAAUGAAUUAGGCCAGAAUACUUGUGUAAUAAAAAUUUAAAAGAAUAUCCAUUUAUUCAAGAUUUAAAAAAUCGCGGCCCAAUACGUUAGGGCACAAUUCCUCCAAAAUCCCAAACUCGGAAUAUUUCCUUUAUUAUUUUUAGAAAAAAUCUUCAUUUCGAGAAAUCAAUGCGUCACAUCCAAUACGUUAGGACACAAUGUGUUGAAUUCCCAAUAAUGAGUUCUUAUUUUUUGAUUAAAGAGAAAUGCUCGAUUGUUAGAUUUAACGAAGAAAAUCGGAACCCAAUACGUUAGGGCUUAAUUUCCUUGAAAAUCCUAAAUACAAGCAUUAUCUCAAUUUUGAAAAGUCCUUUUUUUUUUAAAUUUGAAUAAGAAGAUGAUGUAAUGUGAUAUUGAAUGUGUGUAAUAAUGUCGCAAUAACAAGUACAACAAUCUUGCACCAUAUUGGCAAUCGAAAGGUAAUGAAUUAAAAGCUAAUUUUCAAAAGAAAUAAAUCCUACGUGAAAUAAUAAUAUCUUGAUAAACUUUUAACUAAACAUUAUAUACGAAAAAAAAGUGAUAUAUGUAAAAUACGUAUAUUUAGAAAAGUAGAUGACUUAAUAAUAAUAUACAAUAGUAUAUGUAAAAAAUAAUUUGAUGUAAACGAAAUACAUUAAAAUAGGUAAAAUAUAAUAAAAUAGUUUUUUUUAAGAGGAAAGUUAUAUAUGGUAAUAAGACAAAAAUGAAAUCUAUAAUUUAUAACAAGAAUAAUUUAAUAUCAAUCAUGUAUAUAUACAAAGCAUGGUAUCGUAAAAAAAUAUUAUUAUAUAAAUCUAUUAAAAUAUAGAAACCUAUUUAAAUGAAUAAAAAAAUAAAACCAAAAUCGUUGAAGAUAUACCAUAUUUGGAGGCAAAUAUAUAAAAGGAAUAGGAAAAAUAUAUUUAUGAAAUUAAAUAAUGACAUAUAAUAGUAAUAUAAAAAAAAUACAUAGUAAGAUAAAACUAUGCGCAUGAAAUUUAAGUAAAUUGAUAAGAAGAAAUAAUGAAAAUAAUAAUAACAAUAAUAGUACAAAUAAUAAUAGGAUUAAUAAAUAAUAAUAAUAAAUUAAUUAGUAAAAGCACAAAUACAAAAGGGAUUAAAUUGCAACUAAAACAGAAUUAGAGGGAAAAAAAAUGAAGGGCCCAAUUAAAAGGCGCGAAUAAUUCAUAGGCCUCAAAUGGGAAAAUAUCCCCAUUCUUUGAAACGCGUCCCUUUAUUAGGGCUAAAUAAAAAAAUAAAUAAAAUUUGCAGUGCUAUCACCUUCUCCCCUUUUUUUAAAAUCGUAAAUAAGUAAAAAAUAAUCGAAAAAGAAAAAAAACCAGUAAGCCACAUUUAAAAAACUGCCAAUCGUUCUCUUUUUUUAUUGAUUUUUUUUCUCCCUUUUAAAUGAAGGGAGAGACCUCUAUUUAUAGCUGAGCCUCCCCAAAUCCAACGGCACAGAUCAAUUACAUCAACGGUGAAGAUUAAAGGGUAUCUACAAAUUAAAUCUCUAAGAUUACAAAAUCACAUCUUCUAAGAUUACAUAUCAUAUCUAAGAUUGCAUAUAUCAUAUCUAAGAUUGCAUAUCCUCGAAGAUUAUGUUUCCAUAUGUGAGUCCGAGUACCUUCGAGUUAACGUAAUUCAAGCAUGAGAUUUAGUCCUAGAAAGCAAUGAUCGAAAUCCCCAAGUUUAUGUUAAGGCUGUAGUUGGGGAUGUGAUAUUGAGGUUCAGAGUUUCCCUUGAUAAGAAUGUGAAUCCUCAAUGGAAUGAGGAUUUGAUGUUCGUUGUUGCUGAGCCAUUUUUCGAUUCUUUAAUAGUAACGGUCGAGGGUAGGCUCGAAAAUAAUACAGUCUGAUGUUUAGGGAAGUGCGUGAUUCGUUUAUCGAAUGUUGAACAGAGGCUACUACCUUUACCAGUUGAUCCAUUGUGGUACACUCUUGAGGACAUUGUAUUUGAAGACGAAAUGGAGAAAGAGGUGAAUUUCUUUAGUAAGCUUAACAUGUGUGUAAGUUUUAAUGGCGGAUAUCUUGUGUUCGAUGAAUCUGUUCACAACGGAAGCGAUUACCGGCCUAUUGCAAAAAUGUUGUGGACGGCUAUGAUCGGAGUUUUGGAGUUGGGGAUCAUAAACGCUUCCGGUUUACAACCAAUGAAGUUAAGAGACGGUCGUGAAAUGACCGAUGCUUAUUACGUGGCGAAAUACGGCCUAAGUGGGUCAAGACUCGGACAGUUGUUGACAGUUUCGAUCCAAAAUGGAAUGAACAGUAUAGUUGGGAUGUUUAUGACCCAUAUACCAUGCUUACCAUAGGAGUUUUCGAUGACUGUCACUUGCAUGGUGGCGAUGCAGUUGGAGAUGGAAAAGAUUCGAGUCUCGGAAAGGUACGAAUUCAAUUUUCAACUCUUGCAACGAACAAGAUUUACACAUAUUCUUAUCCCCUUUUGGUGUUACAACCCAAUGGAGCGAAAAAAAUGGGAGAACUUUAGCUAUCAAUAAGAUUUACUUGCUCAUCUUACUUGAGCUUAUUUCUGGUUUACACCAUGAAUCCUUUGUUGCCUCAAAUGCAUCAUAUUUACUCUCUUUCGAUAUACCAACUCGAUAUUUUAAGGAAACAAGCCGUUCGUAUUCUUUGUUCGAGUCUAAGCCUAAACGAACUGCCGUUAAGGCAAGAGGUUGUGGAGUACAUGUUGGAUGGAGGUUCCCAAAUGUGGAGCCUAAGGAAAGCCAAAGCCAAUUUUCAGAGAGUUUUGGCUACUUUUAAGUGCUUUUCCAAUGCUCGGCAAUGGUUCAAUGAAAUCCGCAAGUGGAAUAAUUCGGCAGUAAUUGUAUUAGUCAUGGCGAUCUACUGUAUUAUAGUUUUUAAACCAGAUUUGAUAUUACCAACAGUGACUCUUUAUAGUAUUCAAGUUAUGAUCCUCUAUUGGAGAAAGCGACCGAGGCGUCCAACUCAUAUCGAUGUGAACCUAUCGGUUGUCGGAUCUGUAACAGCCGACGAAUUGGAUGAAGAGUUUGAUACAUUCCCAUCUUCAAGACAAUUCGAUGUUCUUCAGAUGAGAUAUGAUAGACUGAGAAGUAUUGUGGGGAGAGUUGUGACAGUGAUCAGUGACAUUGCAACACAGGUUGAGAGGUUUCAUUCACUGCUAAACUGGCGUGACCCAAGAAUUACAAUGAUGUUCCUUGUUUGUUGUCUUGUUGGAUCCUUCAUGUUAUAUUAUUUAAUUAGUCUUUAGGUUUUUCUUAUUUUUGGAGGAUUUUAUGUAAUAAGGCCUCCAUUUUUAGGAAAAGAAGUGCUAAAUGCACCCUAGAAUUUCUUUAGUAGGCUACCUACAAAAGCAGAUUACAUGUUAUGAGUACACAACGCCAAGACUUCUUGUAGGUUAUUUGAGCCAAAAUUCAAUUCAGUAAUUAUAAAUUCAAGUUUGAACAACUCGAUUUAUUAAUCAAAUCAAAUUUGAGUAUUAUAAUACCCGUUUCGAACGAUUUAGUAGUCUAAUCGAAUUUUCAUUUUUUUAGUAUUUUUAUAUUAUUAAUUUACAAUUUCAUUAUUGUAUAUACAAUAUUAACCUUACUUUUCCCUUCUUUUUUCAACCGAAACCUAUGUUCACAGGAAGAGAGCUUAUGUUGGUUUAAACAGAUAAACACAACUAAUUUGGUUUGAUUUGUCUCAAUUUGAGUGAUUUGGAUAAUUCUCUAGUUAUAAGAUCCAUCUUACCCGUUAGUUUUAUUAGUUAUCAAUUUUUUAAUUUUUAAGCUUGGUUAAAAAAAUCAAUUUAAUUUCAUAUUUUUCAAAUAUUCUAAACUAUAUUUAUAUUUUAUAAUAUAUAGUAAAUAUAUAUCAUUGAAGCUCGAGUUUGGAGUCGAACUUGUAGAUGAUUAUGGACCGGAUCGGGCCUCGAUAGAAUUUUAUGACAAGGACCGGUUCGACCCAAAAAGUGGACUUAAAAUUUUUUCCAAAUUCGGCUCAGAUAAAAAUGUUAAAACCUAAGUCCAGCCUGCUUGUAUCAAAAAAAAUUAUAUUAUUGUUUUUACAUAAAAACAAAUUUAAAAAAUAUAAUACAUCAAAUACACUAAAAAUAUUAAAAUAAAUGUUUCUCAACAAAUUGAAAAUAAAUUUAAAAAAAUUAUUUAUACGUAAAUAACACUAAAAAAGGUGCAACUUAGCAUACAAAUACUUCUAAAAUAGUAGCAAAAUUAACAAUAAAACAAGAGUUAUACAAUAUCAAAAUAAUAACAACAAAAUAGUAACAAUAUAAUAGCGAAACUGCACCAAAAAAGUGACAAAACAACAUAAAAAAGCAGCAGGUUUUUUUUUUCAGAUUCGGGUCGACCUCGGGCCAAAAAAGCUUACCCAAGGCCCGGCCUGUUUAGAAAACGGGCAUCUCUUUUUUUGCCCAAACCCAUUUUUCGGGCCUAUAUUUUUACCUAAACCAUCUCACUUUUCGAGCAGACAUUCGGGCCGAGACGAAUAGCCCGACCCAUGAUCAAGUCUAGUCGAACUCGAGCCCUAGAUUCCUUCUAUCCAAAAAAAAUGCAUGUUUUAUUUUCAGUUGGCCGCUGAACUUUUAACUAAUGUGUAAUGUAGUACAAAUUAAAUGUCCAAUUUGAUACACCAUGUUGUCGUGUAUCCAUACGGUCCAAAAUUUAUAACAUUAUUUAAUUCACACGCUCACUUGAAACCAACAAAUAAAUAGAUACAAUGUAAUUUCUUAUGAUUGGUUUUGAAAUUUACCUAUAAUUUUUACUGGCUACUUACAUUUUUACCAAAUGAUUAAAAUAUUUUAUUUUAUUUUUCUUAUUUCAAUUUUCAAAGGUACAACAAAAUUUUCAAAUAACUUAAAAUUUAAUUAAGUGGUAAAAAUAUAAUCAACGAAUAAAAGUUAUAUAAAAAAUUCAAAAUCAAAUACAAUGACAUGCUUCAUUUAUUCAUUAUUGUUAAAUCAUCAGUUAAGUUGUAUUAAGGUUUUGGACACGAUCUAAGGUUGUCAGUAUUGUAUUAGUUAGCAUGCCCUUUUUGUUAUAAUAUUAGUAUGUAUCAAUAUUAGUAUAUUUUAAUUUAUUGUUUUGAAUUUAUUAAUAUUUUAAAAUACUUUUCAUAUAUAUAUAUGUUAUAUAUACAAACAAAUAAAUCUCAAUUACAUCUAUUUAAAUAUAUUUAUAUGUAAAGUAAGUUCUAAAUUUAUUAAUUGGUCCAAUAGCUUCUGUAACACUCCUUAACCCUGAACCGUCGCCGGAACAGGGUUACGAGGCAUUACCGGACGUAUCAAACAAUUUACAGCAAAUCUGUCCAAUUGUGUAGCAGUUACUAAAUUACUUAUAAUUCGAGCUACGGAACUCGAAAUUUAAUUCCGUAAAUUUUCCCUGAAACUAGACUCAUAUAUCUUCCUACCAUAAAAAUUUCAUAAUUUUUGGUCCAGCCAAUUAGUACAGUUUAUUAGUUAAAGUAUGCCCUGUUUCACCAAUUAACUGCCCUGAUCUCUUGUCACUAAAAAUAAAAUUUCUCAUUGUAGGAUUAUCAUAUGAAGUUAUUACUUGUUUCUACAGAAAAUAGACUCAAUAAGGAUUCUAUACAUAUAAACUGAAACUCAUAACUAUAUUUGUACAAUUUUUAAUGAUUUUCUAAACUCAGAACAGGGGACUCCAAAAACAGUUUUGACACCGUCUCACUAAAACUCUAAUAUCUCAGAAUAUAAAAUUCUUUUUCCUACAACGUUUCUUUCCUGUAAAAUUAGACUUGAUAAGCUUUAAUUCUAUAUAUCAUUCACUCUCUAAUUCCAUUUCUACUAUUUAUGGUGAUUUUUCACAUUCACGUCACUGCUGCUGUCAAAGAAACUGCUUCUUUGAAUUAGUUACCAUUUACACAUAUAUAACACCAAAACAUAAUCUUAACUAACCAUUUAUAUUAAAACAUAAUGACAUUUAUGCACAACCUAUGUACAUGCCACCUUUACCAAAGGAAGAAUACAUCACCAAGUUUUGUUGAAGUCGGGUCUGGCUUUGGAUGUUGGUUCAGUGCUUGACUUCUACAACCUGCGCACGGAAAUAACCGUACGCUGAGUAUGCAUAUACUCAGUGGUAUCACUAUAAUCCAAUUUAUAAUUAAAUACAUUAAAUCACACACAUACUUUUUAUUAUAAUUAUCACUACUAAUAAACAAUUCAAUCAUUUAAUAUUAUCAAUUAAUUAUAUAUAUUUAUAAACAUCAUUCUUAUUUCUUUAUUUCAAAUUUCACCUUUAACAUAUACCAUAUCAUUUAAGUAGUAAACUUAUUUCAUUUACCCCUAUUAACUUGACUCGGACUCGAUGGAUACACGGAUUCCAACCAAAUACACCAGUAUACAGUAAUCAGUAACAGUAACAGUAACAGUAUUCAACACACAAAGUGCUGAACCUGUAACAGUAACGGUAACUGUAUUCUACACACAGUGCCGAGUCAGUAACAGUAACAGUAUUCGACACACAAAGUGCCGAAUCAGUAACAGUAACAGUAGUCGGCACAUAAGUGCCUGAUCAGUAAGCCGGCAAAUACCCCGUACACUUCCAUAUCCUAUGGCAUGCCAACUAUAUCCGACUAGCCCGACUAGUUAAUAGGGUAUUUAAUUCACUUUUCAGUAUAAAUUUCCAUCUUAAUUCAGUAUCAAUUAUAAUUCCUUAAUUCAAUCGGUUUCACAGUAUUACAGUAAUUCUUUACUUCAGUAAUUUCACAAUUCAAUGCAUUAUACAUAACAAUAUUCAGUAUUUUCACAAUUCACUCAGUAAUCAAAACAAUAUCUAGUAUCCCAUAAUUCGGUUCAGUAUCAGUUUCAAUUUCAUUACUACAUUAUAAAUUUAUUAUUUAUUAAACACUUACCUUAAAAUACUUAUCACACAUAAUUAGCAAAUUAAACACUUAAUAUUAAUAAAGUUUGAAUUAUAGUGAUACAAACCGUAAUUCUCCCAUUUUAGUCCUCGAUAACUUUCUCCUUUCCUUUUGAUGCCGAUGCCUCGGGUUCUUUGUUAGCUACGAAAAUAAUAAUUUAUACUAUUAAUUUCAGCACUACUUAUAAUAAAUAGUUGAGUUUCUAUUCAAUUUCUUCCUUAUUCUCAAUUUAAUCCUAACUAAAUUUAUUUACUUUUCUAAUUUAAUUCACACUCUAUUUCUAUUCAAAUUUCAUCCAAACUUAAAUUUAACUAUCAAAAUUUCAGCAUAUUUUCCUAAUUCCGAAUUUCCCCCACUUCAGUCCCUAAAACAUAAAACUUAUAGUUUCUUUUGCGAUUUAAUCCCUUUAUUAAUUCUAACUUAAAACUCAUUCAAUUAAAUCCCUAAUUCAACAAUUUAUUCAACAUAAACUAUACUUUGAAAACCUAUGAACUUACAAAAUAUCAACUUAAUUCCAUCAAAACUUUGUUUUAAAGCUUUUAAAAUAUUAUAAUUAAAAAGAAAGGGCUAAUUUGACUUACCAAAUUAAACUUCAAGCUUCAAAACCCCUAUUUUCCCUAUUUUCUUUCUAUCUUUCUUUCUUUUUUCCUUCCUUCCUUCUCUGCCCGUUUUGCUCUCUGUUUCGUCUCUUCUAUUCUGUUUCUUUUCUUUCUUUUUUCUAUUCUUUCUUUUGUUUUAUGUAUAUAUAUAAUAUAAUAUAUUAUAUUAAUAAUAAUAUAAUAUAAAAACAUAAUCAUUACUAUAAUAUAAUAGUAUUUUUUUAACACAUAAAAAUCUCAGAUUUUUAUACUUAUGCGGCCUCAACUUUGGUAAAAGGCAUAAUUGCCUAUUUGGUCUUUUUAACUUUUCUUUAAUCUAUAAUUAAACUUUUAUCACUAUUGCAAUUUAAUCCUUUUUCAUAAUUAACUAUCAAAGCGUUAAAAUUUCUUAACGAAACUUUAAUAUUAUCCUAUUGACACUCCGUAAAUAUUUAUAAAAAUAUUUACGGCUCAGUUUAUAAUAUCGAGGUCCCGAUACCUCGUUUUCGACCCAAUUUACCUAAUAAUUUCUUUUAAAUCACAAAAUUCACUAAUUCAAAAAUAUUUCUAACUUUUUCAUCGAAUUUUUAGUGAUCUCAAAUCACUAUUCUGACACUACUGAAAAUUGGGCUGUUACAGCUUCACUUUAUUUUAAUUUUAAAUGUAAUUAUAAAAAAUUAAAAUGUUUAAGAUAAAAAGUUAAAAGAUAAAUUAAAAUAUUAAAAUUUUUUUGCAAUUGAUAUAGGCUGGUAUUGGCUAGAAUUGGCCAAAACACAUUGGAACAUGCGAAGCAUAUUGAAAUCUUGACCAAAACGAAACCUAAGUAAAAGACUGGAACAGUAUGGUACCGAUUACUAAAUUGGAUUUUUCUACAGGUACUAAAUUACACAUUAGGUGAAAUUUUUGUGGCUAAAAAAGACAUUAACCCAUUUAGUUUGCUUCAGAUGACUUUAAUUACUAGAUUACCCCCAUUGCACUGUUUAAAAAAAAAGGUUCUUAAUGAAUGCUGAGGCCUCGCUAUUUUCAUUUUAAUUACCGGAUUACCCCAAUUGAACUAUUUAAGAAAAUGAAAAGGAGAAAAAAAAAGCUUCUUAAUGAAUGUUGAGCCCUCGCUAUUUUCAUUUCGUCACUUCCACUCUUCUCUGUUAAACGUUUCGCCGUCGUUGCCUACCAUCGAUUUGCUAAGGUACACCGGAAACGGCUUUCUUUUAUUCUCAUAUAUAAUAAUUUUAUAUUACUUUUUAUAUUUUUUUCUCGUUUCAUUUCAAGUUUUAGAGUGUUUUGUUCUUUUUUUUUUUAAGAAUUAGUUUGACAAUAAACACAAAGAAACCGACCCUUUUUGUCCCAUGAUUGAGAUUGUUUAUUAGCUCCUCUUCACUAUAGGUGCUCAUGGGCUGGGCGGCCCGGUCUGGCCCGAUAGCUCCCCCGAAAUAUGGGUUUGGACAAAAAAAUGAGGCAUAUUUAGAAAACAGGCCAAGCCUCGGGCACUAAUUUUUUGGCCCGAAUAUAAUAAAUAUAUAUUUUUUAUUUUUAAUUUUAAAAUGCUUUUUAAAAAAAAAUUUAUUUUAAAAUAAAUUUUGUGUUUAUUUAAAAAAUGGGACGGGCUGGGCCGAGCUCGGGCUUAGGAAUUUUUUCCCGAACUUUCUCUGGACAAAAUUUUAGGCCCAUAUUUUGGGCCGAGCUGACCCGAGUCUAGGACGUGGGCCGAAAUUUUUUUAGGCCCGACCCAUGAAAACCUCUACUCUUCACCAAUUUAAAGUCCCAUUUUUCUUUGGCUUUUUAUUGGGUGUUUUCAUCAUUUUUCUCUUUCUUUGUAUGGUGGGUUAUUUCUUGCUUCUAAUUUGUUUAUUGUUUUCAUUAUUGUUUCGAAUUUAUUAAUAUUUUAAAAUACUUUUCAUGUAUAUGUAAUUUAAUUUUAAUUUCUCAGUAAGUUAUAUGUUAUAUAGAAACAAAUAAAUCUCAAUUACAUCUAUUAAAUAUAUUUAUAUGUAAAGAUAAGUUCUAAAUUUAUUAAUUGGUCCAAUAACUUCACUUUAUUUUAAAUUUAAAUGUAAUUAUAAAAAAUUAAAAUGUUUUUAAAAUACAGUGCAAUUUCCCCAUUUCCCAUUUCCCCUCUUCCACCGAUUAAAAUCCUUAAGCCCGUGCCGUCCCCCCUCUUUUUCCCAAUUCGAAAAUCAACCUUCACCUCCACCAAUCUACCUCCACCGAUCCACCUCCGGUCCUCCACGGCUCCACUCAAUUCCGGAAUCAGAGGUUAGAGCGGUGCUUCUACGUCUUCUACCUUUAAAUUUCAAAGGUAUGUUAACUUUUAAAAGGGAGUUUGCUGCUGUUAACAGUGUUAACCCUAGACAUUUAGUUAGAUUUUUUUCCCUCUCUUUUACGGUGCUUCUACCUUUGAAUUUUCAGUUCUCGAAUUAUUUCUCCUCUGUAUUUGUAAAUCUUCAGUUCUUCACCUUUGUUAAAUUAUUUUUCAUGUUUUUUGCUUUUUGCUUUUUUUAUUUUUGGAUUGAUGAACUGAUUGAUCUCUUUUAUAUUAAUAUGACCAAUAUGGUGGUUUUCUGAUUUUGAUUUUAAGACACUGAAUCUUCGGGGGGGGGGGAAUUAAAUCUGGAAUUUUGGAAUGUGGAUUCUGGAUUGUAUGUUCAACCUUUUGAAUUAGCAUUGGUUUACAUCUUUCACGGAUGUCCUCGAGACUUGUCCCAUUUACCGACAAGUGUCACGGGUGAGACUCCUGUUAAGUGUGAUUCACUUCUAAGAUUCUUGACAAGAGAUGUACUGGCCAUGCUUUACUAAUCUUGUGUCUGCCUUGUAAUCUGCACAUUUGUCAUUGUAUGGAUGCUGUAAGGACCCCUCCUCCUCUUUGCCUGCUUAGUCAAACCCAUUUUCCAGACAAAUCUCUCGCCUCUCUUCAGCAUUGAAAAUGAUAAUCUCUUCUUUGAUGAGAAACAUCCUGGCUUGGGAGAGACUGAUUAUUAAGAGUUUUAUUCAACAAGUGAAGUAUUAUUUUUUUUAGCAUAUGGUUCCUGACAUCUGGAAACUUGUUUUUUCAUUUUUAGAAAGCAACUUAUAUAUAUAUAUAUGUAUGUAUAUAUAUCUUUACCGUAAAAUUGCCUUGAGGUGAGUUUUGUAUUUCAAUACGAAGCUAUAGGAUUAAGGGUAGCUGAGCACAAUUAAGAGCAAAAUUGUGUUAUUCAAUUAUUAUUGGAUGAGAAUUGAUUUAUGUUUUAUAGAGCUUGUAAUUUGCAGGGCUGAGAUCACAAGCUUAGUUUCUUCAUUUAAUCUCAUCUUUUUUGUUUUUUCUUUGUUUUAUUGCAGAAACAAGUGACAUUGAAAUCGAUUUGGCUUACCUUAGCUUCCUUUCCCGUAAGCUUUCAUUUACAUUUUCUUUUUAGAAUUUAAUUUAAUUUAAUUUGAUUUUCUUUUAUUUUACUUUGUACUACAUUUUGCAAUUAAAUGCAGGAUUAGCAGAUUUUCUAGAUGAUAAUUUGUGUCCUUAUCUCAAAACAUUGUUAUGAUUACUGAUUCCUCUGAAAAAGAAGUGAACUUCCAAAAUAUUAGGGGGAAAGAAAAACUUAAAUUUUGAUUAAAUUAUGGUAAUGUUAUGCUAAAAUUGAUUAUCUACUAGUAGGAAAAUAAUGGGAUUGAGAAAUGGAGAUGCUUCUAUUUAUGAAUUUGGAUUGGAUUUAUGCAGUUUGAAUUUCAUUAAUUUCUUUUUUGGUACAUAUGUAAUUUAGCUUAUAGAAUAAGUAUGACUAUCUCAAUUGUUUAAACGCAAAGGAUGUUUUCUAGUUUAGGUUUAUAUAUACAAUAUUAUGCUUUCUACGUUUAUACAUAAAUUUGAAAUCUAAUGAAUGUUUUUGUUCCAUUCAAUUCUUAUUCCUUUUUUGUUUGCGUUUUCACACUCUAAUUUAUUAGGAAUUUUUAAGUUUUAAAUUGUUUAAACUCAAUUGUUUUAAAUUGUUUAAAUUCAAUUUUUAAGUUUAGGUUUAUUAGGAAUUUUUAAGUUUUAAAUUGUUUAAUCUCAAUCCUUUAAACGCAAAGGAUUACUUGAAUUAAGUUUUAAAUUUUAAAUCAUGUCAAAUUCGUUAAAGUAGUUAAUCAUAUUCUAAUCUCUCUUAUUGAACUAAUUUCCACUCCAUUAAUUCAAUAUUUACAUAGGUGCUAUAACAAUUUUGGUGUUUACUAAAAAAAAAAGGGCCGGGCAGGGCAGGGCCCAGGAAUUUUUUCCCGGGCCAGGCUUGGACAAAUUUUCAGGCCCAUAUUUCGGGCCGGGCCCGGGCCUAGAAAGUGGGCCUAAUUUUUUCUGGGCCUGACCCAGCCCAUCGAUUUGCUAAGGUACACCGGAAACGGCUUUCUUUUAUUCUCAUAUAUAAUAAUUUUAUAUUACUUUUUAUAUUUUUUUUCUCGUUUCAUUUCAAGUUUUAGUGUGUUUUAUUCAUCGUUUUUUUUUUGAGAAUUAGUUUGACAAUAAACACAAAGAAAAUGACCCUUUUUGUCCCAUGAGUGAGAUUGUUUAUUAGCUCCUCUUCACCAAUUUAAAGUCCCAUUUUCUUUGGCUUUUUAUUGGGUGUUUUCAUCAUUUUUCCCUUUCUUUGUAUGGUGGGUUAUUUCUUGUUUCUAAUUUGUUUAUUUUUUUCAUUAUCGUUGCAUGAGUUUAUGUUUCAAAUAUUGACGAUGGGUAUAAAUGUGUUUUUCCCCCUUUUUCGAUCAAAAGAAAAUAGAUUGACGAUGGGAUUACCAAAUGCAAGCGGUGACUUGUCAACUGAAGUUGAGGUGGAUGCUUUCAGACGCCUCUUUCCCCUUCGUUUCUACGAGAAACAUCUUUUAGAGUCUAUACGUCCUGAUGCUCGUCCACUUGGAAGAGCAAGAGAAACCACCAUUGCCCUUGGUUAGUAAAAGAAAAAAGAUAUAACUAUGAAACUUUUUAUGUGACAUAAUAUUUCUUCAUACUUGGAUCUGAUUCCUUUAAUAUCCAGGGGCUGUUGCAUCUGCUAAUGGUUCAGCACUUGCAAAAAUUGGUUCAACUGUAAGUUUGUCACUUUCUCUUAAUACAUAUACUGCUUUGUUUUGGCAAGCAAUUAAGCUUGGAGUUUAAUAAUUAAUUCCUUGCAUGGCAUAGACUAUGUUGGCUGCUAUCAAAAUGGAGGUCAUGACCCCUUCAUUGGAAACACCGGAUGAGGGUUGUAUAGGUUUGCUGCCGUUAGCUGCACGCUUUCCUGUUUCUCUUUCUCUUCUUAAAAUGCAUCUCUUAUCUCUCGUACUUUAUCAUAAUUUCUUUUUCAUUUUCAGCUAUUGAUUUCCACAUGCCUCCAAUUUGUUCUCCAAUUGUUAGGCCUGGCAGACCGGCUGAGGCAGCACCAGUCGUUGCAAAGCAAUUGUCAGACACUAUUUUAAGGCAUGCCAAUUUAGUUCCUUGAUUGUUUAUUGAUGCUGAGAUGCACCCUAUUAAGCCUGUUAAUUUACUUGUAGUUGUGACGUGUGAUGUUUAUCUGUGCUGUAAUUCUUUAGAAUGCAAAGUCUGCAAUUUGUUAUCUCAUCUUUGUGUGGAUUCAAUCAUUAUCUUCCUCUUCGCCUCUGUAUUUACUUAUGAUUAUUGAUGUGAUUAUUGAUGUGGAUUCAAUUUGUUCUCCCUCUUGCUUCUUACUGCUUGCUGAAGCACACUGGUCAGUUAUUUUAUCUAAAUUUGUUGGUGGUUUCGUUUCUUUUGAAUCUCUUUACACUUAUAAAUGUUCUGUUUCAAAACUGUUCCACUUUGAAUCCUUUUCUUUCUGUUAGGUUCUCAAACAACCUGUCAUGUGUAAUUACAGCUCUGGCAUGAUCAAUUUGAAGGAACUGUCCUUGGUUAGUGGAAAAGCUGCUUGGAUGGCAUAUUUGGUACGUGAUUGUGGUUUUUAAAUGUCUUAAUUAUCCGUCUUAGGACUUUCAAGUUGUGUAAGAGUUCGAACAUAAGCCAUCUAGCGUUCAUGCAAGUUGAUAUGGAAAUUCAAGUAAUACCAUAGUGCCUUUGUUCUCCUUGAAUACGGAAGUAACAUAGUAGUCUGUUUUUUCAGGACAUAUACUGUUUGGAUGCUGAUGGUGCUCUUUUUGACACUGCAUUACUCUCAGCGGUUGCUGCCUUUUCUCAUUGUAAGUGUUUCUCUCAUUUUCAUCAAAUACUAUAACAUCAAUUCACCAUGCCACUAAAUAUGAUAAUACUUGCCAAAAACAACCAACCUCUUCCAUGAGAAAGAAGAUUGACAAUGAGACGGAAAAGAAAAUUUGCGAUGGUAAAAUUGCUUUGUUCUUUUAAAGAGAAAAAUGUAUGACCGCCUAAGGAAUUCCUCCGGUGUAAAUUAAAUUAAAAGUAGCAUUUCAUCUAUUUAUCAAGAGUGAGUCAUAAUAGGUUGACAAAAGACACUUGGAACAUAAUGCUCCUUUUCCUUCUGUUAUCUUUAAGAAAUUUAUGAUAAACCACUAAAAGCUAUAUCCACUUGAUGCAUUAACAUACAAAUUGAUUUUAUUUCAGGGUUGACAUUCUGAUUUUCAUGCUUCUUUUAAGUGUGUGUCUGGCGAUCUUGGGGUUUUUGCAUGAAUUACUUCCUUUAGUUUUAACAUAGGAAACGCAUUUUCAUGUACCAGCAAAAAUUACCACUGCUCUAUCUUGGCAAUACAAUGAUCAGAAUUUGCUUUAGGAACAUGGUUUCAUCUAAUCCAUGAUUAAAGCUUUUCCUUGGGUAAACCAAAAAAUUACUAAAUCUCAUAUUAGAUGAGUGAUUAGUAUGCAUAAUUGGCAGUAUAAAUCUUGACCAAGCUUAUUGGUUAUAGAGCAUACUUCAAUGGUAAACCCUGUUGUAAAAUAUCCGCAAUUUAUACUUUCAUGAUAUAAGAUACAAAGCAAGGUCAACCAUAUGUUAUGGCUGUAAUCUAUUUACCUUUUAAUUUUGCCUAGCUUGCUGUCCCAUGCAAAGCCUCUUUGUAUUAUCUGGUCUUGAUAUUCCCUCUGCAGCUACACUAUUGAUUUAAUAGAUUUUGUUUUGGAGUGUCUAACCUAACUGUUUUUAUUUUACCAAAAAAAAUUCCAGUGGAAAUCCCUGUGGUAUCUCUCAACGAUGAUGGAAAGAUCGUUUUAUCAGAGGAACAAGGACUAUCUGACAGGGAACCAGUCAAUAAGGAGAAGAGAAAAAUUAAUCUGAGCAGCGUUCCGUUUUCAUUGACAUGUGUACUUUACAAGAACUACAUUUUGGCAGAUCCUACUGCCGAGGAAGAAUCUAUUAUGGACACUAUUGUAACCGUGGUUUUAGAUUCAUCUAGUCAACUCGUCUCGCUUCAAAAACCAGGUGGAACAGUUCUAGCAUAUACAUCAGCUAUCCAGGUCAGUUGAAUUUUUGGUCUUGAUGUCCCUUUUUAGGUUUUAAUGAUGCUUUAGCAGCAUAAUACAUUUUAGUGCUCUCAUCAUGGUUUAUUUUUCACCGUUAACUUUUGAAGCCACCUUGACUCCAAGAUUAGGCCUGAAGGUCAUGUUCUUGUCCAAAGUUAAAUAGUUUAUAGAAAUAUAGGUUGUCAUGUUCAGAGUUCAAACUUUAUUUUAUUUUUCUUAUGAUGCUUUACAUUUUAGUGCUCUUAUCAUGGUGUAUUUUUCACCGUUAACUUUAGAAGCCACCUUGACUCCAAGAUUAGGCCUGAAGGUCAUUUUCUUGUCCAAAAGGGAAAUAGUUUAUAGAAAUAUAGGUUGUCAUGUUCAAAAUUCGAACUUUUUGGUGCUUUGAAGUCUUUUUCUUUAUGAUGUGUUUGCCGUACAAAUUGUUGUAAAAUUAGGGUUAAUGUAAUUUUUGUCACUUAAACUUGACAACUAGGUCCAUCUUGGUACUCUUAACUUUUUUUUAUUAGUCUCAGAACUCGGUAGUUUUUCGUAAUUUAGUCAUUGAACUUUGAUUCCAUUAAGGUGUGAUGACUUGACACUAAUACUGUACCAUGUCAGCUUUUCCCAAUUAUAUAUAUAUUAGGUGAUUAUGUAGCACAAUCUCAGAGCACCAUGUCAUCACACUUUUAACGAAGCUCAAGUUGAAGGACCAAAUUGGUAAAAGUUGCAAGUUCUAGGACUAACGUGGACAAAAAAAGUUAAAAUACCAAAGUGAACUUAGUUGCCAAGUUCCAAAACUAAAAAUUACAUUAACCCUUGAAAUUAUAUAUUGUUAAAAUUAUGGUUAAUGUAAUUUUUUACCCCUAAACUUCGCAAUUAAGUCCACUUUAGUAUCUGAAUUUUUUUUAUCCACAUUAGUCUUGGAACUUGGCAGCUUUUUCCAAUUUGGUCCCUAAAUUGGGUUCCAUUAAGGUGCGAGCAUAACACUCUAAGAUUGUGCCACUUCUUCAAACAAUCUCGGAGUGUCUCGUUAUCACACUUUAAUGAAAAUCAACUUGCAAUGACCGAAAUGGAAAAGGUUGCCAAGUUCCUAAACUAACAUGGGCCAAACCUAAUUGCAAAGUUCAGGAGCUAAAAAUUAUAUCAACCCUUAAACUUAUACUGAACCAAUGGACCAAGAGCUUGAUAUGAAAAUAACUUUUCCAUGGAUGCAGGACUGCAUUGCAUUAACACGGCAAAGAGUGAAGGAACUUCAAAAGAUUCUAGAGGAAGCCAUUUCUGGUAUGGAGGUUGACUAAUCUUGCACCUACUAAUUAAAUGCUAAUAAUUGAUCUUUUUAAAAUUAUUGUUGUUUGUUCUAUUGCGUUUGUUUAGUGACAUUAUUAGUUCAGGGACUGGUUUUUGGAGGGUGUAAGGAACCAAUUCUAGUAUGCUUAAAAGUGGCAAAUUUUGUUUAUUGCCUUUUGGUAUGUUAAAAAUGUUCCGUUUUUGUUCUAUAGAAUUUCUUAAUGUUGAAAGUAUAUGCCAAGUCCCUCUGUUAUAGGAACUGAAUCAAAUUAGUUCAUUUACUAUUAAAUAGACUGAUUUUGGCUUGUAUUAUUAAAAAGAAUCAAAUAAUGUCAAAUUGUAAUAAAGUUAACAUUUAGUGUUUGAAAAAUUACAUGAAAAAUUAAUUUUUAUUCGUUUCUAGUUCAACUCCAAAUAAAGGAUUUUAUUUGCAAAACCAAUAUUAACCUUGUCAAAGACGUAACUUUGUUGAAAUUUCACCUUAAUUGUAUAGGGAUUAAAUUGAUUUAGAGGAAUUAAUUUGAUCCAAUCUUUAUAAUAGAGGUGCCUACCAGGUAGUUUGCCAUUUCUUAAUUGUUCUAGAUUAACUAGAAUGCUUGAUUACAAAAUUGGUCUCAAACUACACCACUUGUUCCACUGAGGUGCCCAAAGUUUUUUUUUUUUUUAUUGUCAAAAGUAGGCAGAUAAAUUAUUCAAUUUGGUCUGUUUUUAUUGGUUGGUAUUGUAUUUUGAGGAUAAAAUGAGAGGGAAUUAUUUUUAAGAUGCUGAAAAUAAAAAUAGGUUUCUAAAGAAAAAUAUGGUAUAAUUUGAGGGUUAAUUUUAAAUUUAAAUUAAUAAAUACAUGAUAUUUUAUAUACAAAAUUAAAUGUAUCUGUAUUAUAGCCGAUAUUUGCAUCCAAAUAAUUAAUCUUUGGCUGAGAAGCCAAUCAACUAGACCAACAUUUUUUUAAAAUCUUCAUUCUAAAUCUAUGAGCAAUUGUUAGAUUUUAUUUAUUUAUUUUGUUUUUAGCUUUGGAUAAAACCGGAUCGUAUCACCUAAAAAAUCCAAAUUAAUUAAAUUUAAUAUUUGUUUUUUAUAUUUAUAUAAUUAAUUAUUCAUUAAAAUAUUCUUAAAUAUAAAUCAAACCCACCCAAUUUUAUUACUUUUUUCAGUUUCUGGACGAUUAUGUCCAUUUUUAUUUUGUCUAUAUUUGCCUUAAAAGUUGACAAUUCUUUUUAGUUUAGUCUUUAUAUUUGUGAUGAUAUGUAUUCUGUGAUUGUAUCAAGUCAUUAUUUCAAAAUUAAAAAUUUAUAUACAAUUGAGAAAAGUUAAUGUGACACAACUCAAAGUGUCUUAAGUUUAAGGAUUAAAUUGAAAAAAUGUUAAAAUUUGAGACUAAUGAAAAAAUUAAAUAUUAAAAUUGACUUAUUUAUCAAGUUGAAGGAUUAAUUUGAGACUAAUAAUUUUUUUAGUCUAAACAAAUAUUUCUUUUAAAUAAAUCAUUUUAUUUGAGUCCCACCACAUUCAUUAAUAAUAAUUAAAUAAUAUAAUAUAAUAUAAAACUUUUAGAUGUAGUCGUUAGGAAUCCGAAUCCCCAAUUAGGGGUGAGCAUUCGAUCGAAUCGAAUCAAAUCGAAUCGAAAAUUUUCGAGUUAAUCGAGUUUUCGAAUCUCAUUUUAUCAUCGUAACUUUAUUUGAAGUUUUCUCGAAUUGAGUCGAGUGAGAUAGAAUUCGAAUCGAAUCGAAUCGAAUAUAUUUGUUCGAGUUAAAUUUUAAAAAAUAAUUUUGGGUCCUUGUAACCAUUGUCACCCAUCGUAAUAAAAUUUGUCCACCUUAAUCAAUUUUUUUAUUAACUUUCAUCACCUCAUAAUUUAUUUAUUAAUUUUUUAUAUACUGGUUAGCUUCUUUGCUUGCUUAGUUGUUUCAAUUAUCUUCAAAUUCUUGUCACUAUGUAUUUUGGAAUUAAAAAAUGUAUUAAAUGUAAAAAUAUGAUUUUUUUAAUAAAAGUUAUUUUAAAAAUAAAAUGUGAAAUUGAUACCAAUAUAAAAUUUUAACACGAAUAUUUUAUGGCAUAAUUAAUAAUUCAAUUUUAAUAUAAAUAUUCAAUAUGACUAAACAAUUCAAUAAUAUAAAUAAUAUAAAAUGUGAAAUUUAAUUUAAUAAUAUAAAUAGUAGAUAUAAAUAAAAUUAUUACUAUUUAUGCUUAGUAGUUUUUUUUGGAUAAUUUUUAUUUUUUAUUUGAGAGUAAAGGGUGAGAAGUAAAAGUUUAGGGAGAAAAUAAAAAGUUUUGGGAAUAAAAGUUUGAGGGAAUGUAAAUAGGGGGAGUAAAAUUUUGGAGGGGGGAGGGUUUGGAGUAGAUGGGAGGUGGGAUGGGAAGAGAAUAAAAUUUUUAAGGGAAAAGUGGGAGGGAAUAAAAAUUUUGGGGGAAAAUAAAAGGUUUUGAGGGUUUUGGGGAGUAAAAUUUUGAGAAAAAAUAAAUGGGAGAGUAAAAUUUUGGUGGGAAAUAGAUUUUGGGUAGAUUGGGGGGUUGGGGAGAGAGAGGAGUAAAAGUUUUGGGGGGAAGUGGGAAGAAGUAAAAGUUUUGAGGGAAAAGUAAAAAAGUUUAGGAGUUUGGGGUAAAAAUGUAAAAUAUUAUAGUUUGAUAUUCAAAUUAUUCGAAUUUGAAAACUCAACUCGAUUCGAACUCGAAAUUCGAGUUGAUUUGAAUAACUCGAUUAACUCGAAUAACUCGAUUCGUUUAACUCGAAAUUUAAAUUUUUUUCGAUUUUUUCGAGUCGAAUCGAGUUUUGCUCACCCCUAUCCCCAAUGCGACACUAUUCUCUAAUAAUUUCAAGCAUAAAUUUUAGGGAUAAUUUAACUUUUAGUACUUGAACUUGGGAAUUAGGCUCACUUUAGUAUUUGUACUUUUUUUGUUUGUUUUAUUUUAAUCUUUAAAUUUGACAACUAGAUUCAUUUUGGUUGUUAGGAUCGUCCCGAUUAAGUAACAAACAAGUAAAAAUAGCAGAAUAAAUUGAGAAGAUGAACACACAAAUUUAACGUGGAAAAAUCCCUCUAAAGAGGAUAAAAAAACCACAAGUAAAGAUAAUUUUACUAUAAUGGCAAAAGAAUGAAGAGUACAAAAGAUUGGAGAUAAAACCAAACCUCGAAAACUCGAAAAACAAAGAACCCUCAAAACGUAAACACAAAAUUCACUGAAUGUGUUAUGAGUUCUAAUCUAAUGGGUAUUAUUUCUAAGAUUGUAAAAGAACCUAUUUAUAGGCUAAAUUAGUAAGUCAAAUAAACUAUACUAAUAAAUGCUAAAUAUAUUAUACUAAUAAAUACUAAAUCUUCUAGAAAGAAAUAUAUUUUUAUUUAACUCGACUUGCAAGCAAUCUCUUAGAAUUUGGGUCACACAACUCUAACAUUGGUCCUAAAACUUAGAUUUUGUCAAAAUCUGAUGACGUACUCGGUAUUACUGGAACAAGAUUGGAUUGGACAGAUUGAUGAUUGAUCGAUAUAAUGGUCCAAACAAACUAGUUGAAUCGAUAGACUUAGAAAUUGCUUGAAAUUGGUAAAAAUCAAGAAUCGAGACAAAAGUUGACGGUUGAACAUAUUGAACAAGUUUAAUAUAUAUAUUUUAUUUUUAUUUUUAAAUAUUCUUUCAGAUUUUUAUGAAUUUUUAAUUGUUUAUUUAAUUAUUCUUGAUCCGGUUGUCAACCAGAUCAAAGUGAUCGAAUCAAGAAUCAGUGGUUUGAUUUUUGUCAACAUUGGUUCGAUUAUUAAAACACUAAACAUGACAUUUUGAGAUUAUACCAUAUCAUCAUUUAAAAAUGUAUGCAAUUUUUUGUAAUUUUUAAGUUCAGAUAUCAGAAUGGACCUAUUUGUCAAGUUCAAGUGUCAAAGUGGACAAAAAAAGUACAGAAACUAAAGUGAACCUAGUUAUUAAAUUUACGGACCAAAAUUUAUAUUGUCCUUGAAUUAUACAUAAAAUAAAUAUAAAUCGAAAAAUAAUAUAAUAAAAUCUAUAAUAUAAUGCUAAGGUUAAACCUCGACAAGUUUGAAUAUUAUUUUCGACAGAGACUUUUUCUUCUAACUCUAUUGAAAAUUUGAAUGCGUGAAGAAGCAAUAGUUUCAACAAGGAAACCAUUAAAAAGAAUUAACAUAAUGAUUUACUUGGCCCUCUAACUUUACAAAAAAAGUCAUUUUAGCCUUCCAUUUAUUUUGUUUUGUUUUUUUUAUCUCUUUUAAUCCUUGAACUUACGUUGUUUAUCAAAUCACUCCAAAAUAGAUGAAAAAAAUAAUGUUUAUUAAUUUUGCUGAUGUGACAUCCACAUGUAUGUCAUAGUAAUUAAUUGUUUUUUAAAAUAAAAAGUAAAUCUUUUAUAUUUUAGAAAAUUUUAAUUGUGGGAUUUUUUUUGAAUUGAAAAAUAAUUAAUUAUUGAUGUAGCACACACGUGGAUGCCACAUUUUCAAAUUUAGCAGACGUUUACUUUCCAUCUAUUUUUUUGGUAGUUUGACAUACAGUUAAGUUCAAUAGUUAAAAGAGAUGAAAAACUAAUUGAAGGGUUAAAAGUCAUUUUGUAAGGUCGGAGAACAAAAUAAGUCAUUAUACCAAAAGAAUUAAAAAUUUCACAAUCGAUGAUGUUUGAACCCAUAUAUUAAAUGAGGCACAAGUACAAGUUGGCUACGCGAAACCUCAACAAUAAUUUACAUAAAUUAUCCCAAAAAAUUGAGCUAAUUAAAAACAUCUAUUGUCUUGGAUCGAGUAAAAAGAAGCUCGAUGUCUUUUAAACCAAACCAACUUGGACGAGCAUCUCGAAUAUAAACACCUCUAGACCCAACCCAUAAGCACUUAAUUACAACGAGAAUAAAUUGCAUCAGAGAUCCCCAAACUAUGAUUCUCAUUUUCAAUGGGUUUCAAAUUUUAAAAAAUUUUGAUUGUAUCUCCUAAUUUUCAAGGUUAUGUCAAUUAAGUCCUUUCAUUACUAAACUUGUUAAAUUCACUAUUAAGCAAAAUGACACUUUACUUUUUAAAAUUUAAAUUAUGUCACACAGGAUCUGAUAUAUUACUUAACAACGAACUUAAUGGUUUUAGUAUCAUAAGGACUUAAUUAACAUAAUCUUGAAAGUUUAAGGAUAUAAUUAGAAUAUUUUAAAGUUUAACAAUUAAUUUAAAAUAAGUUAUAGUUUAGGAGCCUCUAGUGCAAUUUACUCUUUUAACGAGCUACAUCUAUGAAUGACUAAGAUUUCUUAUUAGUAGCGUGUCAAAAUUUCACUAAUUGUGUUCUAAAAUCAUUUAAAACAAAUAAAAGAAUUGUUUAAAAGAUCAAAGAUUUCGACUUUUGAUUUAAUAUUUAAUGGCGAUUUUCACUAUUUUUAUUUAAAAAAAAACAAUUUAAUUUUACAUGUUUUUCAUACACGAUCUUCCUCUUCUUCAUUAGUAUCGUCCUUAAAACUGAUCCAAUCCAAUCCAAAUCCAAAUCCAAAUCCAAAUCCAAAUCCAAAAAACCCAAAGUAAAUAUAUGGAGCUACGAACAUUCCAUCAUCAUCUUCUUCAAGUGUUUAUGUUAUUAUCUUUGAUAAGCAAUUGUUACGCGAGAUUCGUGGUGGAAAAGAACAGCUUGACGGUAACAUCGCCGGAGAAGAUUAAAGGAACCCAUGAUAGUGCGAUUGGGAACUUUGGGAUACCUCAAUAUGGUGGAAGCAUGGCUGGUGUUGUGGUUUACCCUGAAGAAAACCAAAAAGCUUGUAAAAGCUUUGAUGACUUUUGGAUUUCGUUUAAAUCCAAGCCUGGUUCUCUUCCUACCUUUGUUUUGGUCGAUCGUGGAGGUACUCUAUUUUUUUUCCUCAAAAUUUUCGCCUUAUAAGAAAAAUUAAUCUGUGGUUUUGUUUAUUUGAGCUAUAAUUUGUUUGUUGUAGGGUUGAACGAUGAGGAAUUUUUGUGUUGUUUUAGCUAAUUUGAGUAAUUCCAAAUUGGGGAAUUUUUAAUAUUAGGUUUAAAGUUCAAUUUGUUGGAUUUGGUUUAUUUAUGGGGCAAUAAUUUAUUUGUUAGUUUGGGAUUUGAGGGUUAAUUGAUUUGGUUUUUCCAUCUACUUGGAUUUAUGUUAUUAUUUUUUAACUAAUUCAUUUAAAUAAAUUUAGCUUUAUCAGUUUCCAUUGAUUUCAUUAUCAUUAUUUAUAUAUUUAUUCAUUCAUUUAUGUAUUAAUAUACUUGUUUUCAGCUUUGCUUUAAGUUGUUUGGACGGAUGUCUUUUUCUCUUUUUAUCUUACUAGUUGUUUUCUGAAAUUAGGUCCACUCUUUUAGGUUCAUUUCCCUCCUUUCAUAGGGAUAUAGCCUUAGAGUUGUCUACAAAAGUAGAGCUAAGUUUCUCUGAUUCUUGGUUUUGCUUUAAGUACCAGUUUUAGACUCAAUAUCCGAACAUGUGUACGGUGAUAUGAUUUUUCAAAAUCCUUCUAGGUACAUGAAAAAAAUUUGAAUAUAUACGUGUCAAACACAUUCCUGUAUUUGAAAUUGAAACUCAUACCCGAGUCCAAGUGAACAUAUAUGUUUUGAGUAUGGUUGGUUCUCAAGGCAGAUGUAUGAUAAUAAAAAUGAAUUUCAAAAUGCUGGUUAUCCAAGAAUUUCGUAGUAAUGGCUUAUAGUUUUCUCCAGAUUGGAUAAAGUGGUUUAGAGCUAAGUUUCUCUGACUCUCAGUUUUGCCUGAAGUACCCGUUUUGGACUCAAUAUCGGAACAUAUGUGCGGUAAUAUGUCUUUUCAAAGAUCCUCUAGGUACAUGAAAAGAAAUUGAAUAUAUCAGUGUCAAACACAUACCUAUAUUUGAAACUCAUGCCCAAGUCCAAGUGAACAUAGAUUAAGAGUGUAUGAUUUGAGUUUGGUUGGUUCUUAAACAGAUGGAUGAUAAUAAAAAUGAGUUUCAAAAUAAUGGUGAUCUAAGCAUUUCGUAGUAAUGGAUUAGAUAAUUCAGUUACAUUACUACAAUGCAAUUACGCUGUUAAUGAUCCUCUGGAUAUCCGUUUGAAGUACCCGUUUUAGACUCAAUAUCCGAACAUGCAUAUGGGGACACAUGACUUUUCAAAGAUCCUCCAGAUACAUGAAAAACAAAAACAAACUUAUCCGUGUCAAACAUGUGCCUGCAUUUGAAACUCAUACCCGAGUCCGAGUGAACAUAGAUUUGAGUGUAUGAUUUGAGUUUGGUUGGUUCUCGAACAGAUGUAUGGUGAUAAAAAUGAGGUUCAAAAUGCUGGUUGAUCUAAGCCUAGGUAGUAAUGGCGUAUAGUUACUUCCGGAUUAGAUAAUUCAGUUACAUUACUAUAAUGUGAUUACACCGUUAAAGAGAUGAGAAAAAUCUGUAGCGUUGCCUAUAUACGGACUCCAGUUGCUGCUAAGGUUGUAAAAUUUGCUUAUUGUCCUUGAUUGAGUUAUGGUCUUCGAUGUAAUUUUUCUUUAGUUUUUGAUAUAUAUAUAUUUGCGGAGACUGCAUUUAGCGCCUUUUUUCUUAUUAUUUUUCAAGAUUGCUUCUUUGCUUUAAAGGUUUGGAAUGUAUGGCAAGCAGGUGCUUCUGCAGUGCUUGUUGCGGAUGAUAUUGAAGAAGCAUUAAUAACCAUGGACAAUCCUGAAGAGGACAGUUCAUCUGCCAAAUACAUUGAAAAUAUAACAAUUCCAUCUGCCCUUAUCGAGAAAACUUUUGGUGAAACUCUAACCCUGAUGAUCGUGACGAGUACGAGUUAUGAACCAACUGCAAUGAUGAACGUGGAGUUAAAUGUGAUAUGCUGAUGGCAUUUGUGAAGGAUUUCAAGGGUGCUUCUCAGAUUCUCGAAAAAGCUGGCUAUACGCAGUUCACACCCCAUUAUAUAACUUGGUACUUCUCUCAAGCUUUCACCCUAAGCCGACAGUGCAAAUCUCAAUGCAUCAACCGCGGAAGAUACUGUGCACCGGAUCCUGAACAAGGUUUUAGCUCAGGUUAUGAAGGGAAAGAUGUAGUUAUUGAGACCUUAAGGCAGCUUUUUGUUUUCAAAGUGGCAAAUGAUACUGGUCGAUCGUGGAGGUACUCUUUUUUCUGUUUUCUUUUUUGUCAAAAUUUUCGCCUUAUAAGAAAAAUUAAUUUGUGGUUUUGUUUAUUUGAGCUAUAAUUUGUUUGUUGUAGGGUUGACCGAUGAGGAAUUUUUGUGUUGUUUUAGCUAAUUUGAGUAAUUCCAAAUUGGGGAAUUUUUAAUAUUAGGUUUAAAGUUCAAUUUGUUGGAUUUGGUUUAUUUAUGGGGCAAUAAUUUAUUUGUUAGUUUGGGAUUUGAGGGUUAAUUGAUUUGGUUUUUCCAUCUACUUGGAUUUAUGUUACUAUUUUUUAACUAAUUCAUUUAAAUAAAUUUAGGUUUAUCAGUUUCCAUUGAUUUCAUUAUCAUUAUUUAUAUAUUUAUUCGUUCAUUUAUGUAUUAAUUUACUUGUUUUCAGCUUUGCUUUAAGUUGUUUGGACGGAUGUCUUUUUCUCUUUUUAUCUUACUAGUUGUUUUCUGAAAUUAGGUCCAUUCUUUUAGCUUCAUUUCCCUCCUUUCAUAGGGAUAUAGCCUUAGAGGUGUCUACAAAAGUAGAGCUAAGUUUCUCUGAUUCUUGGUUUUGCUUUAAGUACCAGUUUUAGACUCAAUAUCCGAACAUGUGUACGGUGAUAUGAUUUUUCAAAGAUCCUUCUAAGUAACAUAGGCGAGAGCUAGGCUUUUAGAAAUCUAGUGUAGUGUUUCAACUUACCGUCCAGUUGUUAUUUGAAACACCAGUGAUGGCGGUUAUUUUUUUCACAGAUGUGGAGACGAAUGAAUGCUUGGAAAAUAAUGGUGGUUGUUGGCAAGAUAAAACAGCAAAUCUCACAGCCUGCAGGGUAUGAAUCAAAACAUAUUUGAUAGGGGUUCUCUACUCCAUGAGCUUAUUUGAAUAUAUUGAUUUGCUUCUUAGGAUACAUUUCGAGGAAGAGUUUGUGAAUGUCUCUUGGUUGAUGGCGUGCAAUUCAAAGGAGAUGGAUACAGUCACUGUGAAGGUGAGAAUCAAGAUUUUAUUUGCACAGAUUAAGUGUUCAUUUGUGAUUCAUGUCUUAUGAGAAAGAAGAUUGACAAUUAGAAUAUUUGGAAUGGCUAGGAAGAAUUUAGAUUGUUAGGAAGAAUUCUAAAAAAAGGACAAGACAUUAAAGCAUUUUCCAUGUAGUUUGGCAUGACAAAUCCAUUUCAUGUUACUUUUGAUUACUUAUAGCUCUUAAUUUUGCAUUCAAUCAAAUUUUGGCAUUAUAGUUUGGCAUCUUAAUUUUACAUUCAAUAGGGCAGUUUGACAUGACAAUCAAAGUCUAUAUAAAACCUAUAUCAAGCAAUGCAAAACAAUCGUUAACAAAUCAAAUCAAAUCAAAUCAAAUAUAUACAUAAUGGGGGAGAAAUCAUGGGUGUUGAUGUUCUGUUUGCUGUUGUUGAUUCUUGUUAGGCCCUAACGUCAAGCUGUUACAGCACUCGCCCCGGUUGGAUUUGGGUAUGCGUUUUGUGGAACUACUUGCGUCGCCAACGGAACUUUCCUUGGGGAUUGUAUUCAACGUUGCCUGCCGUCAGAAGCACUAGUGGAGACUCAGGAGAAAAUCCACCUCACGAGCAGUUUCGUAUUCUGCAAUGUUGGGUUUGCUGCCAUGAUAUGAUCGAGGCUAAGCAGCCAAGGGAGAAUGCCUGCUAAUUUUUUUUUCCUUUUAUAUUAAUAUUUGAUGGUAAGUACGUAAGUAUAUUAACUUCACGAUUUAUUUUGUUUUUGUUAGCUGCAAGGGAAGUUGUAGGCUGCGUCAAUACCUGUAUAGGGAGAUGCGCCAUGAAUAAUUGAUGAUAAUCGCCUAUGCACGAAAUUAUAAUAAAAGGCCUUUAAUUACAUUUAGCCUGAAUGAAAAAAACAUAAUUUGGUUGCUGUUGUAUUUUCAGUUUUAUAUUU
rnacentral:lncRNA from 1 species